AUCAGGUAGGACUACCCGCUGAACUUAAGCAUAUCAAUAAGCGGAGGAAAAGAAACUAACAAGGAGUUCCCCUAGUAACUGCGAGUGAAGCGGGAAAAGCUCAAAUUUAAAAUCUGGCGGUCUUUUGGCUGUCCGAGUUGUAAUCUAGAGAAGUGUUAUCCGCGCUGGACCGUGUAC
rnacentral:rRNA from 1 species